ACGAACGCUGGCGGCGUGCUUAACACAUGCAAGUCGAACGGAAAGGCCCUGCUUUUGUGGGGUGCUCGAGUGGCGAACGGGUGAGUAACACGUGAGUAACCUGCCCUUGACUUUGGGAUAACUUCAGGAAACUGGGGCUGAUACCGGAUAGGAGCUCCUGCUGCAUGGUGGGGGUUGGAAAGUUUCGGCGGUUGGGGAUGGACUCGCGGCUUAUCAGCUUGUUGGUGGGGUAGUGGCUUACCAAGGCUUUGACGGGUAGCCGGCCUGAGAGGGUGACCGGCCACAUUGGGACUGAGAUACGGCCCAGACUCCUACGGGAGGCAGCAGUGGGGAAUAUUGCACAAUGGGCGGAAGCCUGAUGCAGCAACGCCGCGUGCGGGAUGUCGGCCUUCGGGUUGUAAACCGCUUUCGCCUGUGACGAAGCGUGAGUGACGGUAAUGGGUAAAGAAGCACCGGCUAACUACGUG
rnacentral:rRNA from 1 species